rnacentral:misc_RNA from 1 species
GAUGAAGAACGUAGUGAAAUGCGAUAAGUAAUGUGAAUUGCAGAAUUCAGUGAAUCAUCGAAUCUUUGAACGCACAUUGCGCCCCCUGGUAUUCCGGGGGGCAUGCCUGUUCGAGCGUCAUUUCACCACUCAAGCCUCGCUUGGUAUUGGGCAACGCGGUCCGCCGCGUGCCUCAAAUCGACCGGCUGGGUCUUCUGUCCCCUAAGCGUUGUGGAAACUAUUCGCUAAAGGGUGUUCGGGAGGCUACGCCGUAAAACAACCCCAUUUCUAAGGUUGACCUCGGAUCAGGUAGGGAUACCCGCUGAACUUAAGCAUAUAAUAAGCGGAGGA